rnacentral:rRNA from 1 species
AACGCUGGCGGCGUGCCUAAUACAUGCAAGUCGAGCGAGCGGAACCAACAGAUUUACUUCGGUAAUGACGUUGGGAAAGCGAGCGGCGGAUGGGUGAGUAACACGUGGGGAACCUGCCCCUAAGUCUGGGAUACCAUUUGGAAACAGGUGCUAAUACCGGAUAAUAAAGCAGAUCGCAUGAUCAGCUUUUGAAAGGCGGCGUAAGCUGUCGCUAAGGGAUGGCCCCGCGGUGCAUUAGCUAGUUGGUAAGGUAACGGCUUACCAAGGCGACGAUGCAUAGCCGAGUUGAGAGACUGAUCGGCCACAUUGGGACUGAGACACGGCCCAAACUCCUACGGGAGGCAGCAGUAGGGAAUCUUCCACAAUGGACGCAAGUCUGAUGGAGCAACGCCGCGUGAGUGAAGAAGGUUUUCGGAUCGUAAAGCUCUGUUGUUGGUGAAGAAGGAUAGAGGUAGUAACUGGCCUUUAUUUGACGGUAAUCAACCAGAAAGUCACGGCUAACUA